AGUUAUGUUCUUUAAAUUCAAUAAAUUUGGCGGUGUUUUAUUCCUAUUAGAGGAACUUGUCUUUUAAUCGAUAAUCCUCGUUUUAUCUUACUUUAUUUAAUUAUUUUGUAUAUCUCCGUUAUAAGUUUAUAUUUUUAGAUAUUUUAAUUUACUAAUAAUUUUAAUUUAUUUUAUUUCAGGUCAAGGUGCAGAUUAUAAUAAAGAUUUGAUUAGUUACACUUUUAUAUAAAUAAACUAUUUUUUGUUUUAAAAUUUUUAUUUAGGUGGAUUUAAUAGUAAUUUUUUAAAUAGAUUUUUUUUGAAAUGGGUUUUAAAAUGAGUACACAUCGCCCGUCGCUCUA
rnacentral:rRNA from 1 species